rnacentral:rRNA from 1 species
UAUGUGAUCGUCUCUCGCAUAUCAAUAAGCGGAGGAAAAGAAACUAACAAGGAUUCCCUUAGUAACGGCGAGUGAAGCGGGAAGAGCUCAAAUUUGAAAUCUUCAAGGUUUUACCUUGACGAAUUGUAGUUUAAAGAAGUGUUUUCUGUUGAAGUUUUGGUAAAAGUUCUUUGGAAUAGGACAUCAUAGAGGGUGAGAAUCCCGUAUUUGACCAUUAUUUUCAGCUGUGUGAUACACUUUCAAAGAGUCGGAUUGUUUGGGAAUGCAGUCCCAAAAUGGGUGGUAAAUUUCAUCUAAAGCUAAAUAUUGGCGAGAGACCGAUAGCGAACAAGUACCGUGAGGGAAAGAUGAAAAGAACUUUGAAAAGAGAGUUAAACAGUACGUGAAAUUGUCAAAAGGGAAGCGUUUGACACCAGUGUUGUUUUCUCGAAAAUCAAUUAAAAAGAGUUUAGAUUUUGUUGUGUAUUGACCUUAACAGCUUGCAUUUCAAUUUUCUUGCUUUUUUUAAUGCACUUUUCGUUUAACAAGUCAACAUCAGUUUCUUUUGUUGUAAAAAGGUCAUUGGAAGGUGGCUUUCUUUUCGGAGAAAGUGUUUAUAGCCUUUGACUCCUGCAAUCGGAGAGACUGAGGUCUGCAGCGUAGAUCCUUCGGGGUUAGAUACAUUUGUGCUAAGUUAUAGCUUUUUAUAGACAACUUGUUGACUAUGAUUAGUCUUGUAGCUUACUCGCUUAUGCUAUUUUACCUACGCUUAGGAUGUUGAAGAUGUAGCACAUCAU